CAUAUGCUUCGUUCAAGGGCUAAGCCAUGCAUGUCUCAGAGCAAGUGGUUUCGACAGUGGGUCUGUGAAUGGCUCCUUACAUCAGCAGUCAUCUCCGUGAUAGUGUGUGGGAGGCGCCUCGUACCAUCGGCGCCCAGUGGGACAUCCUCCAAAACCUUGUGGCUAAUACACGUACGCUCAGGUCGACCGCAGCACAUGUUUGCCAGCGAUUUGCUGCCAGUCUUGGCGGUGGAUUGCGCCCAGCUGAUCGAAAGACCAGCGCCCCAACCAAGGGCAGUGUGCAUGUGGUUGAUCCAGGCUGGUCCCCCAGGGACAGGUCGCGCUGGCAGAGUGGUGGCUCCGGCCACAGCAAUCGCUUGAUCACAUGAACUUCUGACCUAUCAGCUGGGACUGUGGUGUAGUGGACCACAGUGGCCUCGACGGGUGACGGAGAAUAAGGGUUCGAUUCCGGAGAGGGAGCCUGAGAGACGGCUACCACUGCCAAGGCGGGCAGCAGGCGCGCAAAUUGCCCAAUGCAAAAACAUCUGCGAGGCAGCGACGAACCGCAGCAAUCCCGCUGGUGCUCUGCGCUGGCGGGACUUGGAAUGGAUGCAAUCCAAACACAGUGAUGAGAAUCAACUGGAGGGCAAGUCUGGUGCCAGCAGCUGCGGUAAUUCCAGCUCCAAGGGCGUAUACUAACAUUGCUGCUGUUAAAACACCUGUAGUCUGCCACAGGGUCGUGGGUCUGCUGAGUGGCCUGGGGCCGGGGUCGUUCGGUGGUGGAACCCUCCUCGGGGGGGGACCCGCCGGCGUCCCCCGGACCCGGGGUAAAACCCUCGGUGUAUGCUCCCACCGCCCAAUCCAAGCAGCGUGCGAGUGCCCCUGCCCAGAGGCCCCUUCACUGGGGUCCGAGGUGGCCACGCUGCCCACGCCAGUGCGGACGAUCCAACGUGGUCGGAGCCCUCCCGUGCUCCGGAGCGACCACGCGUCCACCACCGGGGCCCACCGCUGUCGACACCGUGGAAAACUCAAUGUGCUCAAGGCGACCUGUGCGAAAAAAAAGUCCGCUGGCGACAGUGGGACGAAUGGCUGAAUGUCUCUCCAUGGAAUGGCGACCUAUCGACCUAGCGAAGGCUACUGUGAUGUUGUGCUGGCCUUGGAGUCCGCCCAGGGCAAUUGUGGUGCAUGGUUCUCUCUCCGACCCCGCGGUGCGGCGGUCCGGGGGUGGUCGUGGGUUCGUCCCUGGCCCUCCCGGUCGUCCCCCCCGGUGGCCUCUCAAAGUGACAUCGAUGCUCCCCACCGGCGCCGGUGGGAGCGCCCGUGGCCCAGGAUACCACGGCGCCAGAGGUGAAAUUCUUAGACCGCUGCGAGAUCAACCGCAGCGAAGGCGCUCCGCAGGAGCCUGUCCGUCGACCAAGGAUGAGAGUUUGGGGAGCAAAGAUGAUCAGACACCGUCGUAGUCCUACACUGUAAACCAUGCCAGCUAGGCGUCUGCGAGGAAAGUCCCUAGACCUCGCUGGCGCCACGCCCCCUACAACGAGAAAUCCACAGGGAAUGGGUUCAGGGGGGAGACUUCGAAGGUGAAACUUAAAGGAAUUGACGGAAUGGCACCACAAGGCGUGGAGUAUGCGGCUUAAUUUGACUCAACGCGGGGAAUGUUACCAGGUCAGGACGCAGCUGGGAUGGACAGACUGAGAGCUCUUUCUAGAUCCUGUGGACGGUGGUGCAUGGCCGCUCCUGAUUGGUGGAGUGAUUUGUCUGGUUGAUUCCGAUAACGAGUGAGAUAUCUGCCUCCCAAUAGUCUCGUGGCUCGCAUCUGGUAGGGACCGGUCCGCCCGGUGGGCGCCCACGCACCGAAGACGCAGGGGUCACACCCUGUCGAUGGACGUGCGGGGCCCCCGGCGGACCCCCGAGAGCCCGCAAGUGUUCCAAAGCUUCUCUGAGGUGCUGUGUACGCUGCCAAGUGCACGCAUGCUAGAGCCAACAGCAGGUCUGUGAUGCUCCCAGAUGUCCUGGGCUGCACGCGCACUACAUUGACUCGGUGAAGGAGUGCUACGCUCGCCCGUCGAGCCCUGGUCGGAAGUGGCUGGGUAACCCUGCAAGUUCGUGUCGUACUGGGGAUAGAUGAUUGCAACUGUCUGCCUUGAACGUGGAAUGCCUAGUAGGCGUCGGUCAUCAGCCGACACCGAUUGUGUCCCUGCCAUUUGUACACACCGCCCGUCGUUGCUACCGAUGACAGCUCGAUAGAACCAUCAGGAGGUCACGCCCACCCCUCCGGCACCCGCUGCCUGGGGGGGGACCGGGCAUCGUCCGAAAUUGGGUGAUGUCCAGCUGCUAGAGAAGCAAAAGUCGUAACAAGGUUGCUGUAGGUGAACCUGCAGAAAG
rnacentral:rRNA from 1 species